rnacentral:rRNA from 1 species
UACAGAGGUCCCAAGCGUUGUUCGGAUUCACUGGGCGUAAAGGGUGCGCAGGUGGUCGGGUAAGUCUGAUGUGAAAUCCCGCAGCUUAACUGCGGAAUGGCAUUGGAUACUAUUCGGCUAGAGGGUUGGAGGGGGGACUGGAAUUCUCGGUGUAGCAGUGAAAUGCGUAGAUAUCGUGAGGAACACCAGAGGCGAAGGCGGCUACCUGGACAAUUGCUGACGCUCAGGCACGAAAGCGUGGGGAGCAAAAGGG